UGCUGGAGGUAUCAGAAGUGCGAAUGCUGACAUAAGUAACGAUAAAGCGGGUGAAAAGCCCGCUCGCCGGAAGACCAAGGGUUCCUGUCCAACGUUAAUCGGGGCAGGGUGAGUCGACCCCUAAGGCGAGGCCGAAAGGCGUAGUCGAUGGGAAACAGGUUAAUAUUCCUGUACUUGGUGUUACUGCGAAGGGGGGACGGAGAAGGCUAUGUUAGCCGGGCGACGGUUGUCCCGGUUUAAGCAUGUAGGCUGAUUGUCCAGGCAAAUCCGGAUAA
rnacentral:rRNA from 1 species